CCACAACGGGAGCUCCUGUAAUAACUUUUGAAAUCAGGAAGUCCUCCAACGUUGUCCACUUUCAAGACAUUUUGACUAUUCCAGGUGACUUGAAAUUCCUUAUGCAUUUUAGCAUGUUUUCUUCUAUUUCUGCAAAAACAUGCCAUGGGGAUUUUCAGAGACUGUAUUGAAAGAGUACAUCCCUUUGGGUAGUACCACCAUCUUAACAAGAUUAAGACUUUCAACAUAUGAACACACAUCUUUUCAUUUAUUUAGAUCUUCAUUAAUUUCUUUCAGCAACAUUUUAUAAUGUUCAGUAUACAAGUCUUUUAUCUCAUCGGUUAAAUUUAUUCCUAGGUAUUUGAGUCUUUAGGUACUAACUGUAAAUGCAACUGCUUUCUUAAUUUCCUUUUCAGAUUGCUCACUGCUGGUAUACAGAAAGAACUGAUUUUUGUGUGAUCUUGUACCCUGCAAUUUUACUGAAUUCAUUCAUUAGUUCUAGUAGCUUUAUUGCUGACAUUCUGCAUCUAUUUCUACUUAAUGUAUGUGUAUGCAUGCCUCCCUCCGUAUCUGUCAGCUGGGGCAGUUAGCUUCUACCGACGAAAAGUGGGAGAUAAAUGAGCUGUGGUCCAUACCCAAAUGGGAAACUCAGGCAAGAGGCGAUGUUAAAGUCCCAACCUCUAGUACCACAGAAGGUGGCCUUACAUGGAAAGAAGAUCACAGCAGAUGUAAAUUGGUAGAUGACAUCACAGUGGAGUAGGCUGGGCCCUUAAUCCAGGACGAAUGGUCUCCUUAAAACAGAAAAAGGCCAGGGUGGGGGGAAGCACUGAGCGUUUGGGAGGGAAAUGCUAUAAAAUUUGGUUGUGAUGAUUGUUGUACACCUAUAAAUGUAAUAAUAUUCAUUAAGUAAUUUUAAAAAUUAAAAAAUAAAAGUGGUUUACAUCAUGGGAAAAAAAAUCCAAAAAACAAGAAAAGGCCAUACCAAGACAGAGACACACAGAUAAGACAGACCUAUGACCACAGAAGAAGAGAUUACAACGAUGCAUUUCUAAGCUAAGAAAUGCCAAGGAUUGCCAGAAAACACCAGAAGCUGGAAGAGGAAAGGAAGGAAUUCUGCCUCAAAACUGUAACUUAAAAUUCUGAGUUUCUAGUCUACUGGACUGCCCUACAAGUUUCGGACUCAAGAUGCAACAGCAACUCUUGUCUGAGUUUCCAGAAAACUCAGACAAAAGUAACUUGUCCAGUAACUCAGAAAACUCAGAAACGAUGAAGUAGGCAGUUUGUUUUUGGUGACCUCCACUCACUCUUUUCCCCCAUUUUCCUAAAUGUUCCCAUAAUUUCUGUAUCAAUCAAGUUUCUCUAGAGAAGUAGAACCAAUGUUUACUCAUUCAUUCAUUUAAAGGAAUUGAUUUACAUGAUUGUGGGAGCUGAUUAGUCUAAAACAUGAAGGCAGUCUCUUUAAUAUAAAUUUUAUUGGAGUAUAGUUGACUUACGAUAUUAGUUUCAGAUGUACAGCAAAGAGUGUAAGUCACAUACAUAUGUCAUACAUAUGUCAUACAUAUGUUCUUUUGUAGAUUCUUUCCCACAUAGAUUGUCACAAAACUUUGAGUAGAUUUCCCUGUGCUAUAUAGUUAAGUCCUUUGUUAGUUUCUAUUUUACACAUGGCAGUGUGUCAUGCUUGAUUUUUCGAGGGACAUUUUUAGGUCUGAACAACCAAAUAAGCAGGAUGGUCAACAGAUGAUCUGAGUUCAAUAAAGAGACUUGGCCUGGAGUGAUCACCAAAGACAAAAACUAGCAGAGGAAACCAAAUCAAGAGGGAGCACAGAGAGGGCAGCUUUCCAGAAGACAGAACAAAACUAACGAGACCAAAAUUCCGGAAGGAAACCUUAUCAAACUUACAACCUUUUGCACAGCAAAGGAAACCAUUAAAGAGAAAAUUUUUAAAAAUAAAAAAAUAAAAAAAAACACGAAAAGACAAUCUACAGAAUGGGAAAAAACAUUUGCAAAUGAUGCAACCAACAAGGGGCUUAAUCUCCAAAAUAUACAAACAACUCAUACAACUCAACAACGAAAAAACAACCCAACUGAAAAAUGGGCAGAAGACCUAAAUGGACAUUUCUCCAAAGAAGACAUAUACAUGGUCAAGAGGCACAUGAAAAGAUGUUCAACUAUUAGAGAAAUGCAAAUCAAAACUGCAAUGAGGCACCAACCACCUCACACCAGUCAGAAUGGCCAUCAUUAAUAAGCCUACAAAAAACAAAUGCUGGAGAAGGUGUGGAGAAAAAGGAACCCUCCUACACUGUUGGUGGGAAUGUAAAAUCGCAACAACCACUGUGGAAAACAGUAUGGAAGUUCCUCAGAAAACUAAAUAUAGAACUACCAUAUGAUCCAGCAGUCCCACUCCUGGACAUAUAUCCGGACAAAACUGUCAUUCAAAAAGAUACAUGCACCCCUAUGUUCCGUGCAGCACUAUUCACAAUAGCCAAGACAUGGAAGCAACCUAAAUGUCCAUCGACAGAUGAAUGGAUUAAGAAGAUGCAGAUGCACAUAUACAACGGAAUAUUACUUAGCCAUAAAAAAGAAUGAAAUAAUGUCAUCGGCAGCAACAUGGAUACAGCUAGAGAUUCUCAUACUAAGAGAAGAAGAAAAAGACAAAUACCAUAUGAUAUCACUUACAUGUGGAAUCUAAAAUAUAGCACAAAUGAACCUAUCUACAAAACAGAAACUCCCUCACAUAGAGAAAAGGCUUGUGGUUGCCAAGGGGAAGGGAGUGGGAUGGACUGGAAAUUUGGGGUUAGUAGAUGCAAACUAUUAUAUUUAGAAAGGAUAGACAAGGAGGUCCUACUGUACAGCACAGGGAACUAUAUCCAAUCUCUCGGCAUAGACCAUGAUGGAAGAUAAUGAAAGAAAACUAAUGUGCAUACAUAUGGCCCAUAUAUGACAAGAUCACUUUGCCACACAGCAGAAACUAGCACAACACUGUAAAUCAACUAUACUUUAAUAAAAUAAUUAAUGUUUUUAAAUUCCAUCAGAACUUUUGGGGAACAAGCAGAUCACUGUGAAAUGAAUUCACAUGGGGAGUAAUGGACAGGCAUGGCUGGAAUAUUUCGCAGAGAACCCUGAAUGCCAGGUUGAGUCAUCUCUUCUGCGUGCUACAGAGUGCAGGUGAAGGUUUUUUACAAAGAAGUUUCAAAAGAAUAGCUGACCAAGUGGGGAUCAAGCAUAGGAAGAGAAGACAGAUCUGAGGUGGUCAUUGGGGGAGAGAGGGGACUUGUGCCUAGUGAUGCAAAUAAACAGUUAGAGCUGGGGGCGGGGGGUCUCUUUAAUUUUUUUUCCUGGCCACACCCACAGCAUGUGGAAGUUCCUGGGCCAAGGAUGAAACCCGAGCCACAGCGGUGACAAAGCCAAGUCCUUAAUCCCUAGGCCCCAGGGAACUCCUGGGGGGGAGGGGGCGGCCUGCUUUGUAAAGAUUCAUCUUAACAAAGUUUAAAACAUUUUAAAACAUAGGUUCUCUAAGAAUUUAACUGGCUUCUUGCUUUUAGAAUGCCUAAAAACAGAAAAGGAGUCUUUCAUAUUAAAAAUCAACGAAAAAGGCAAAGGAAUAUUCAAGAGAGCUUGAACUUCAUUAAAAAAAAAAAAGUUACGCUGCAACACAAAGAAAACAGUAACUAUAAUACACAAACUCUAUAAAUCCUCUAAAUGCAUUAUGAUAAACCACAAAACAAGGCAAUGGAUUAUUAAUUUCAUUUGGCAAAGACAGAAAUUGAGACUGAGGAUAGCCAAGGUCUCACAGUCAGUAAAGAACUGAAUGGCUCUGAAGUCAAUGAUGAUUCUAGUAAACCUAUCUCCUCCCCAAAUGAAAACACCCUGAGGAAGUUCCCUGUGGCAGGCAGGUUAAGGAUCUGGUGUUGCCACAACUGUGGCAAAGGUUGCAAUUGAGGCAUAGGCUCAAUGCCUGGCCCAGAACUUCCACAUGCCGCAGGUGUACCUCCCCCCAAAAAUGAAAACACCCUGAAAAACCUCCAUAUCCAGAGGAAUAUAAAAAGAUGACUGAGGAACUUCCCCUAAAGUAGAUGCUUUGAACAAAACAGGUGGGUAUAACAAAAUAUUUUACUUCCACUAUACAAAAUAACAUUGGCAACCUACUGUAACUAAAAGGCCCACAUACUAGAGAAAAAUUUUAAAUAUUAUUUGCACAUCACAUUUAAAAAGGAAUCAGAAAUAUAUGAAAGUGUCUACCUCACGACACCAUGUAGCCAAGUGAUUAAUCCCUUCACCCCUACCAAACUGUAAGCAUUAAGGGAUAGGGUCUGUCUAUGCACAUCUUCACUUCUUUAUAACUUGUUUUUGAGGAUUCAUCUUACUGGGCCUUUUACUAACUUUGGAAUCACAAGCAAGAAGAAUCAUGGAGGAAGUGGAUCAUGACAAGGAAGUUUAGUCUUAAUUCUAAGGGCAAUGGGAAGCCACUGAAGUGUUUCAGACACAAGACUGAGCUGAUAAAACCUGAAUUUCAGAAAGAUCUGCUGUACAGAUCACAAACUGGAUGGGGAGAUAGAUAAUGCAGUAUCAGACAAUCCAGCAACACAUAUAUUAAAAUGUAACACAGGAAAAAACAGGUUCAAGGAUCUGAAUAUGAUUCACUGCCAAGACUCCCAUGGUCACCCAGGGAAGCAAAGCAAUCCUAACACACACACACACACACACACAUCAACUAACCACUUAAUAAAAUUCAUCCCUUUCAAACAUCCUUCCUAAGGUAACAGUAGCUUCUGUCAGUCCCUCAAUGAUGGCAAAUAUUUCGAUUACAAAACAACACUGUGGAUCACUAUAAGGUAAAAGUGCAAACCUUCCAACAGAUGCAGGUCUUUACAAAGGGACUAAAAAUGAUGAGAACUGUGUCCAACUACUGGCAAAGCCACCAGCAAAAAUGAAAACUGGAGACAGACACUGACUAGGAAGGAGAGUCAGGGCACUUAAGGGAGUGAUAAGUACGUUCUGUAUCCUGAGCUGGUUGGGAGCUACACAGAUGUAUCUGUAGUAAAAAUCCAUCACCCUGUAGAUAUGCUUAUGAUUAAUACAUUUAGCUGCAUGUAAAUUACACAGGGGGGAGGACAAAAGGAGAUGGUCCUUCUUCCCAUAAAAAUUACUGGUUCUUGGAGUUCCCGUCGUGGUGCAGUGUUAAUGACUCCGACUAGGAACCAUGACAUUGUGGGUUUGAUCCCUGGCCUUGCUCAGUGGGUUAAGGAUCCGGCACUGCCGUGAGCUGUGGGUGUAGGUCACAGAUGAGGCUCGGAUCCCGCGUUGCUGUGUCUGUGGUGUAGACCAGAGGCCACAGCUCCAAUUAAACCCCUAGCCUGGGAACCUGAAUAUGCCGCGGGUGUGGCCCUAGAAAAAGACAAAAAAAUAAAAGAAUCCGAAAAUAUAAAUAAUGCCCCUGGGCUUUAUUAAUGAAGCCCCUGAAUAUUUUGGCAAAAAUGGCUUUAAGAGUUCCCUGUAGCUCACUGAGUACUUACUGCCUAAAACACUUCCCAUAUUAGCCAUUUCAUACUCCUCUGGUUAAGGAUCUGGUGUUGUCACUGCAGCGGCCUGGUGGCUACUGCAAUGCAGGUUCGAUCCCAAGCCCAGGAACUUCCACAUGCCGCAGGCAUGGCCAAAAAAAAGACUUUCUUAAGGGAAGUCCAUCAUAAAUGAAGGAUAUAAUUUCAUGACAUUUUGCAAUUCUUAAAAAAAAAUUAUGCAAAGCAAGCAACCAAUACUUGAUUCAUUCUUAUUCCAUUUUAAGAAUUUUACACAUAGUAGCAACUAUUAUAUGAAUGUUUCCAUAAUUUUGUUUCAUUUUUCAAGAUUAAACCCAAAUAAAGUCUUUUCUCCCCACUCCUGCUAUCUCUGAAAUGUUGCUUCUACUCUAGGUCAAUUCAUUCUACAUGGCCUUGUUCUUGUACCCAUUAUUUUCAGAAAAUAAAGAACUUUUAUAUGAUGAAAUCACAAGAAAAAUCAGUUAUUCACUCAUACAUCAACAUUUAGAAAUUCAAACACAGAUCUCAGUUCAUAAAAAUUAACCAUUACAGGACUUCCUCUGUGGUGCAGCAGGUUAAGGAUCUGGCAUUGUCACUGCAGCAGCUCAGACUGCUGCCAGGACACAGGUUCAAUCCCUGGCCCAGGAAACUUGUGCAUGCAUCAUGUGCAGACAAAAAUAAAAUUUUUUUAAAUUAAAAAAAAAAAAAAUAACGAUUACAGAGAUAUCCUAGCAUACUGGUUAAAACCAGGGGCUCUGGAACCAGACUGCCUGGGAUGGAAUUCUAGUUCCACUGUUUACCAUUGGGUGACCCUGGGCAAGUUACUUAACCCUCUGUGACUCAGCUUCCUCAUUCAUAAAACGGGGAUAACAACUGUUCCUACUGUAUAAUGUGUAAGAAGAGUAUUAAAUGGCUAAUAUGGGAAGUAUUACAGGCAGUAAGUACUCAGUAAUCUGAAUCUAUGAACUCUAAGAAAUCAAAAUCUAAGAAAACUGAGUAAUAUAAAUGCCACCAUUAGAACUGAGUCACUGGUAAAGGAAAAACUUUUUUUUUUAAUUUAUCUAUUUGAGGGCCACACUCACGCCACCUGGAAAGUCCCAGACUAGGGGUCAAACUGGAGCUGCAGCUGCCGGCCUACGCCACCAGCAACGCCAGACCCAAGUCACAUCUGCUACCUACACCUCAGCUCAUAGCAAUGCCGGAUCCUUAACCUACUGAUCAAGGCCAGGGAUGGAACCAACAUCCUCAUGGAUUAAUAGCAGGGUUCAUUACUGCAGAGGCACAAUAGGAACUCCCAGGGAAAACUUAAGUCACAAGCUUUAUGUUUAAGUUUAAGUGCAUACUUUUUUGGCCAUGACCCCAACACAUGGAAGUUCUUGGGCCACGGCUCAAACCUGUGCCACAGAAGUGUGACAAUGCUGAAUCCUUAACCACAAGGCCACCAGGGAACUCCCAUACACUUUAAAUAAAAUUAAGACAAAGAAAAAUGAGAACAGAUAAACUUACAAUAAAAAUGAGCUGAAAGCUUAAUUUCUAAACAUGUAAGAACUUAUAAAAAGGACUGUAUCAAACCUACUUAACUAAAAACUAAAGUGUUGCUGUACUUCACUAAAGAUGAAAUUAAAAGUCUGAAUAUACGGAUUAAAAAAAAAAAAGAAU
rnacentral:lncRNA from 1 species